CACGUAGGGGGCGAGCGUUGUCCGGAUUUAUUGGGCGUAAAGAGCUCGUAGGCGGCUCAGUAAGUCAGGUGUGAAAACUCCAGGCUCAACCUGGAGACGCCACCUGAUACUGCUGUGGCUAGAGUCCGGUAGGGGAGCAUGGAAUUCCUGGUGUAGCGGUGAAAUGCGCAGAUAUCAGGAGGAACACCGGUGGUGUAGACGGCUUACUGGACCACGACUGACAACUGGAGGCACGAAAGCGUGGGUAGCAAACAGG
rnacentral:rRNA from 1 species